CACGUAGGGCGCAAGCGUUGUCCGGAAUUAUUGGGCGUAAAGAGCUCGUAGGCGGUCUGUUGCGUCCGCUGUGAAAAACUCGGGGCUUAACCCCCGAGCCUGCAGUGGAUACGGGGCAGACUAGAGGUAGGUAGGGGGAGAAUGGAAUUCCCGGUGUAGCGGUGAAAAUGCGCAGAUAUCGGGGAGGAACACCGGUGGCGAAGGCGGUUCUCUGGGCCUUUACCUGACGCUGAGGAGCGAAAAGCGUGGGGGAGCGAACAGG
rnacentral:rRNA from 1 species